UCUACUAGGAAGAUCCUAAGGAGAUCUCAGAGAGUGAGUGAUGAGUCGGCGGAAUUACGACAGGAGUGUGUGUGUUAGUGUGUACACCUUUCAAUCCACUGACAACUAGCAUUAGUUGACAAAUGGAAAUCUCAGCAGCAGCUGACGUUAGUGACUUUACCGUACAUAUUACUAUUAUCGGUCCAUAUCAUUAUUGUUCGUUUUUAUAUUUAUCUUCUUUUUUUUUGCGAUUUCGCUUUUAUGUUUAUCCAGUGAGAUAUUCUUGAACCGUCUAGUUAAUUGCUCUUGAUUUCUUGCACGGAAUCCAUUAAAUCCUGUACAGAUUUUAGGCCUGCACGUACAACGUACCAUGCCUGAAGCGUUUAAACUACGCAGUACGCACGUACUUGAUCGAACUCGAAACACACCGAACUAAUCCUUUGUCCCUCCCAUCUGGCCAUCUCACACACAUUAUUUUUCAUUUAUUUAUCAACGUGAACUUGACAAGGUGCUGUUAUAUGUAUCAAUUCAGAAGAUAAUCUCCAUCAUGGUAAACAGAAUAAAUCGUGUCACCGCGAUUUGGGUUCUAAUUUUCUACCCUAGCUAAUUAAAGGCCUAAUAACAAGCAACCUUUCAUAGCUCUACUAGUGGUAGGAUUAUUCAAGCUCAGACGUACGUUUGGAAAGGAGUUAGUUACAAGAGAGCAGCUAAGCUAGCCUUGUUCAUUUUUUUUCUUUGUGUCUAGAGUCUAUACACUAUUCUACAGCAGUACUGCCGUUUAUCGUAACGCAGCGGCCGGUAAACAUUUGUUAAGCUGUUACCAUCUUAGCUUCGCCAUUAUCAGUAGAGGAAAAGUUCAGUUUUGAUUUCUUAAUCAUCUUCUUGUGUGCAUGAUUGCCUUCGUACAAUUAGAUUAGAACUUUUGACUGACUAUGCUGGGAAUAAAAGAAGGAAAACGUUUAACAUUCGCAUCCAUGCAUAAUAAUUUUAUAUUCAACUCUCGAGGCGAGCUAAUAUGUCUCCAUUAGCGUUUGCAAAGUUCAUCUCUUUUUCUUUUUGCGAAUCACACCCUACAUCAUGGAAUAAAUUUGUCAGACCUCAACGCCAU
rnacentral:lncRNA from 1 species